AUACGGAGGGUGCAAGCGUUGUUCGGAAUUAUUGGGCGUAAAGCGCGUGUAGGCGGUCUGUUAAGUCUGGUGUGAAAGCCCUGGGCUCAACCCAGGAAGUGCAUUGGAUACUGGCAGACUUGAGUAUGGGAGAGGAAAGCGGAAUUCCGAGUGUAGGAGUGAAAUCCGUAGAUAUUCGGAGGAACACCAGUGGCGAAGGCGGCUUUCUGGACCAAUACUGACGCUGAGACGCGAAAGCGCGGGGAGCAAACAGGAUUAGAAACCCCGGUAGUCC
rnacentral:rRNA from 1 species